rnacentral:rRNA from 1 species
GAUGAACGCUGGCGGCGUGCCUAAUACAUGCAAGUCGAGCGAACGGACGAGAAGCUUGCUUUUCUGAUGUUAGCGGCGGACGGGUGAGUAACACGUGGAUAACCUACCUAUAAGACUGGGAUAACUUCGGGAAACCGGAGCUAAUACCGGAUAAUAUUUUGAACCGCAUGGUUCAAAAGUGAAAGACGGUCUUGCUGUCACUUAUAGAUGGAUCCGCGCUGCAUUAGCUAGUUGGUAAGGUAACGGCUUACCAAGGCAACGAUGCAUAGCCGACCUGAGAGGGGGAUCGGCCACACUGGAACUGAGACACGGUCCAGACUCCUACGGGAGGCAGCAGUAGGGAAUCUUCCGCAAUGGGCGAAAGCCUGACGGAGCAACGCCGCGUGAGUGAUGAAGGUUUUCGGAUCGUAAAACUCUGUUAUUAGGGAAGAACAUAUGUGUAAGUAACUGUGCACAUCUUGACGGUACCUAAUCAGAAAGCCACGGCUAACUACGUG